CCUACGGGAGACAGCAGUGGGGAAUAUUGGGCAAUGUGCGCAAGCCUGACCCAGCACCGCCGCGUGAAGGAAGAAGGCUUUCGGGUUGUAAACUUCUUUUCUCAGGGACGAAGCACGUGACGGUCCCUGAAGAACACGCAUCGGCUAAAUCCGUGCCUGCAGCCGCUGUACUACGGAGGAUGCGAGCGUUAUCCGGAUUUAUUGGGUGUAACGGGUGCGUAGGCGGAAUGCCAAGUCAGCGGUAAAAUCGCGGGGCUCAACCUCGCUCCGCCGUUGAAACUGGCGUUCUUGAGUGGGCGAGAAGUAUGCGGGAUGCGGGGUGUAGCGGUGAAAUGCAGAGAUAUCACGCAGAACUCCGAUUGCGAAGGCAGCAUACCGGAGCCCAACUGACGCUGAAGCACGAAAGCGUGGGUAUCGAACAGGAUUAGAUAACCUUGUAGUC
rnacentral:rRNA from 1 species